rnacentral:rRNA from 1 species
UCGAGAAUCUUCCGCAAUGGGCGAAAGCCUGACGGAGCGACACCGCGUGCAGGACGAAGGCCUUCGGGUUGUAAACUGCUGUCACGCUCUAGGAAUGCCAUGCUGUUAAUAGCGGCAUGGUUGACCAAGGCGAGAGGAAGUGGCGGCUAACUCUGUGCCAGCAGCCGCGGUAAGACAGAGGCCACGAACGUUGUUCGGAAUUACUGGGCAUAAAGCGCGCGUAGGCGGCUGGGUCCGUCCGAUGUGAAAGCCCCCGGCUCAACCGGGGAAGUGCAUCGGAUACAGCCCGGCUUGAGGACGGUUGGGGUGAGUGGAACUCCUGGUGGAGCGGUGAAAUGCGUAGAUAUCAGGAGGAACACCGGUGGCGAAAGCGGCUCACUGGACCGUUACUGACGCUGAGGUGCGAAAGCUAGGGGAGCAAACGGGAUUAGAUACCCAGGUAGUCCCUGAGCGGGCUGGCAAGGCGCAU